AGAGUUUGAUCAUGGCUCAGGACGAACGCUGGCGGCGUGCUUCAUACAUGCAAGUCGAGCGUGAACCCGGGGCUUGCCCCGGGGGAAAGCGGCGAACGGGUGAGUAACACGUGGGCAACCAACCCCAGCCUCUGGGAUAACCUCGGGAAACCGGGGCUAAUACCGGAUACUCUCGAUGGGUCGCAUGGCCCAACGAGGAAAGCUCCGGCGGACUGGGACGGGCCCGCGGCCUAUCAGCUUGUUGGCGGGGUAAUGGCCCACCAAGGCAUCGACGGGUAGCUGGCGUGAGAGCGUGACCAGCCACACUGGGACUGAGACACGGCCCAGACUCCUACGGGAGGCAGCAGUAGGGAAUCUUGCGCAAUGGGCGAAAGCCUGACGCAGCGACGCCGCGUGGGGGAUGAAGGCUCUUGGGUCGUAAACCCCUUUCGGCAGGGAAGAAGCGAAAGUGACGGUACCUGCAGAAGAAGCCCCGGCCAACUACGUGCCAGCAGCCGCGGUA
rnacentral:rRNA from 1 species